UAGGGAAUCUUCCGCAAUGGGCGAAAGCCUGACGGAGCAACGCCGCGUGAGUGAUGAAGGUCUUCGGAUCGUAAAACUCUGUUAUUAGGGAAGAACAAAUGUGUAAGUAACUAUGCACGUCUUGACGGUACCUAAUCAGAAAGCCACGGCUAACUACGUGCCAGCAGACGCGGUAAUACGUAGGUGGCAAGCGUUAUCCGGAAUUAUUGGGCGUAAAGCGCGAGUAGGCGGUUUUUUAAGUCUGAUGUGAAAGCCCACGGCUCAACCGUGGAUGGUCAUUGGAAACUGGAAAACUUGAGUGCAGAAGAGGAAAGUGGAAUUCCAUGUGUAGCGGUGAAAUGCGCAGAGAUAUGGAGGAACACCAGUGGCGAAGGCGACUUUCUGGUCUGUAACUGACGCUGAUGUGCGAAAGCGUGGGGAUCAAACAGG
rnacentral:rRNA from 1 species